rnacentral:rRNA from 1 species
GACGAACGCUGGCGGCGUGCUUAACACAUGCAAGUCGAACGGAAAGGCCCUGCUUUUGUGGGGUGCUCGAGUGGCGAACGGGUGAGUAACACGUGAGUAACCUGCCCUUGACUUUGGGAUAACUUCAGGAAACUGGGGCUAAUACCGGAUAGGAGCUCCUGCUGCAUGGUGGGGGUUGGAAAGUUUCGGCGGUUGGGGAUGGACUCGCGGCUUAUCAGCUUGUUGGUGGGGUAGUGGCUUACCAAGGCUUUGACGGGUAGCCGGCCUGAGAGGGUGACCGGCCACAUUGGGACUGAGAUACGGCCCAGACUCCUACGGGAGGCAGCAGUGGGGAAUAUUGCACAAUGGGCGGGAGCCUGAUGCAGCAACGCCGCGUGCGGGAUGACGGCCUUCGGGUUGUAAACCGCUUUCGCCUGUGACGAAGCGUGAGUGACGGUAAUGGGUAAAGAAGCACCGGCUAACUACGUGCCAGCAGCCGCGGUGAUACGUAGGGUGCGAGCGUUGUCCGGAUUUAUUGGGCGUAAAGGGCUCGUAGGUGGUUGAUCGCGUCGGAAGUGUAAUCUUGGGGCUUAACCCUGAGCGUGCUUUCGAUACGGGUUGACUUGAGGAAGGUAGGGGAGAAUGGAGUUCCUGGUGGAGCGGUGGAAUGCGCAGAUAUCAGGAGGAACACCAGUGGCGAAGGCGGUUCUCUGGGCCUUUCCUGACGCUGAGGAGCGAAAGCGUGGGGAGCGAACAGGCUUAGAUACCCUGGUAGUCCACGCUGUAAACGGUGGGUACUAGGUGUGGGGUCCAUUCCACGGGUUCCGUGCCGUAGCUAACGCUUUAAGUACCCCGCCUGGGGAGUACGGCCGCAAGGCUAAAACUCAAAGGAAUUGACGGGGCCCCGCACAAGCGGCGGAGCAUGCGGAUUAAUUCGAUGCAACGCGUAGAACCUUACCUGGGUUUGACAUGGAUCGGGAGUGCUCAGAGAUGGGUGUGCCUCUUUUGGGGUCGGUUCACAGGUGGUGCAUGGCUGUCGUCAGCUCGUGUCGUGAGAUGUUGGGUUAAGUCCCGCAACGAGCGCAACCCUUGUUCACUGUUGCCAGCACGUUAUGGUGGGGACUCAGUGGAGACCGCCGGGGUCAACUCGGAGGAAGGUGGGGAUGACGUCAAGUCAUCAUGCCCCUUAUGUCCAGGGCUUCACGCAUGCUACAAUGGCUGGUACAGAGAGUGGCGAGCCUGUGAGGGUGAGCGAAUCUCGGAAAGCCGGUCUCAGUUCGGAUUGGGGUCUGCAACUCGACCUCAUGAAGUCGGAGUCGCUAGUAAUCGCAGAUCAGCAACGCUGCGGUGAAUACGUUCCCGGG